rnacentral:ncRNA from 1 species
GGGUAAGCUACUAAGGGCACACGGUGGAUGCCUUGGCGCCAGGAGCCGAUGAAGGACGGGACGAACACCGAUAUGCCCCGGGGAGCUGUAAGUGAGCGUUGAUCCGGGGAUGUCCGAAUGGGGGAACCCGCCAGCUUGAAGAGCUGGCACCGCCAUCUGAAUCCAUAGGAUGGACGGGGGCACACCAGGGGAACUGAAACAUCUUAGUACCCUGAGGAAGAGAAAGCAAACGCGAUUCCCUGAGUAGCGGCGAGCGAAACGGGAACAGCCCAAACCGGCUGGCUUUGCCAACCGGGGUUGUAGGACGUCUCACACGGAGUCACAAAGGUGACGGAUAGAUGAAGUGGUUCUGGAAAGACCCGCCAAAGAAGGUAACAGCCCUGUAAUCGAAAUCGGUCACCCUCCGAGACGGAUCCUGAGUACCACGGGACACGUGAAACCCCGUGGGAAGCAGGGAGGACCACCUCCCAAGGCUAAAUACUCCCUGGCGACCGAUAGUGAACCAGUACCGUGAGGGAAAGGUGAAAAGCACCCCGGGAGGGGAGUGAAAGAGAACCUGAAACCGUGUGCUUACAAUCAGUCGGAGUCCUUUUAAAGGGAUGACGGCGUGCCUUUUGUAGAAUGAACCGGCGAGUGACGGUUGCGUGCGAGGUUAAGGUGAGAAGCCGGAGCCGCAGGCGAAAGCGAGUCUGAACAGGGCGAAUGAGUACGUGGCCGUCGACCCGAAACCGGGUGAUCUACCCAUGUCCAGGGUGAAGUUCCGGUAACACGGAAUGGAGGCCCGAACCUGUUGGUGUUGAAAAACCAUAGGAUGAGGUGUGGGUAGGGGUGAAAUGCCAAUCGAACUCGGAGAUAGCUGGUUCUCCCCGAAAUAGCUUUAGGGCUAGCCUCGGAGAGGAGUCGUGGAGGUAGAGCACUGAUUGGGCUAGGGGCCCCCACAGGGUUACCGAACUCAGUUAAACUCCGAAUGCCACAGACUUGUCCUCCGGGAGUCAGACUACGAGUGCUAAGAUCCGUGGUCAAGAGGGAAACAGCCCAGACCGCCAGCUAAGGUCCCAAAGUAACCGUUAAGUGGCAAAGGAUGUGGAGUUGCCCAGACAACCAGGAUGUUGGCUUAGAAGCAGCCAUCAUUCAAAGAGUGCGUAAUAGCUCACUGGUCAAGUGACUCUGCGCCGAAAAUGUAACGGGGCUAAACGCUCCACCGCUUCUCACGAAGCAGCUUCGCUGCUGUUUGGAACGCUCCCCUACCAUGUCCGAAGGACAUCCGCAGCUUCGGUGAACCGUUUAGC